GUCUUCCAGGGUCGAGUCUCUUCCUCCCCCUCCCCGACACUUCAUCUUCUCCAAACGUAUGCUUUUACCGUUACUUUCUCAAUCAAUGACGCUGUCAAAGCUAUUCUUCAAUGUUGUGGUCCAUCUCCCCUUGAUACUUCUCUUAUAUAAAUCUCUGUCUCAAAACCUAAAGCCACCCUAAAUUAAAAAACCUAAUCUGCAAAAAAUACAUUCAUGGCAAUGAAAUAGUCUUAGCUUAUCACCAGAAAAUAUCCCGUCGCCAUGUGUUUCAACGACAUCUCACCAUGAUGAUCUGAGUCACAGCUUCAAUUCAGGAAACAAAUCUCGGACGCCUAGAUCUGGAAGCCAUGAAGCAUCUGAACCCAAAACUAUGACUAAUGUUCACAGGGACGGCAAUGACGGACGAUAGAGAAGAAGGGACAACAAUCGUUGAGAUAUCCUUUAGAUAAAAUACUCCUAGGAGGGAGACAAAAAUGAGAGGACUAAAUCAUCUUCAGAUGCUCGAACCAGUGCUCGUGCUUGAAUCGACCAUCCUUGCUUCCGCCUUCCGGUUGGUUUAAAGAAAGGUGCAGCCAAGUGUGUAAGAAAUCUAAGGUGUCUAAUGCUAACUUCCACUGGACACAACUUCAAUGGAUGGAAACCAUACCUAUGGUCUGAAUUAUUAACCCUUGAGUUGCUUAGCAAGUGAUGCUUAGUACUGAACCAACAACUAAGCUCACAUUUGCAGUCUCAGUGUUUAUGAUUUUCGCUCCUGGUUUGUAGAGACAGAGGGUAAAAGCUAUGAUCGGGUCAGUCGGACAGAGAUCGCGAUGUUGGUGAGAUUACAAGUUUGGAUUAGACAAGGUCAUAAUUGAUGGGCUACAGAUAUUCAAAGGAGCAAUCGUUUGUGUAGGAGAACCAAAGGCUUCCGAGCUCCAGAGGUACAUCAAGUGUAACAAUAUAUAUCUUCCUUUAAAGCUUUGCUUAUAUGAGUCUUCUACCUUGAGGCUAAAGAUACACGCAUGAACUACUCAUUAGAACUUUCAGGAUGGAAAAUCUAAUAAUUUGGGGCUGUUCUUGGCUGAAAUAACUUGUGCAGGAUUCCUUCUGACGUGUGGUCAGCAGGAAUAAGAUUAACUUUGUCUCAUUGAUUUGUUAGGAUUGCAGAGGCUCUCUCUUUUAUACCAAAUUAGUUUCUGCUCUAUUGAACAUAAUUGCAUUUCCAUUUUCUCUUCCUGGACAUUGAGAGAUCAUGAAGAAUUCGAGGUUAAGAUCAAUGGUUUAGUUGAAACUGCACCAGUUCCUGAAGAAGUCUAGAAUAUCCACUACGGUACUCUUUGGCCCGGUAAUAAUGUGCCAUGAUCAAGGUCUUCCUUGGAAACAAAGGUCUUAACGAUGUAGAAAACUACGAGCUCCCUAGGCUGGUUUAUGUUCUCGUGAGGAGGGAGCCCAGAUCCGACCAUCUUAAGAAGGUUGAAGAAAUAACUUUAUUGGUAAACGAUUAAGCUUAAUCUUUGAUUGUAUUAUUUAAACUUAAAUAUAAUGUUCUCUCGCAAACUUAACUGUGAUUACUACAUCAACAAUAGCAAAGCUCACAGAAGCAAUGUGUUUCCCAAAGGAUCCUUAGUCGGGAAAAAGCUUUGUUAUGUCAA